GAUCGCAGUAGCUCGAUCAAGCUCCGCUCACAUUUUUUGACUCACUCGUUACCCUUUUUGCUCAUAUAUGGGUGUGGAGAGGUUCAAAAUUUAAUUCUGAGCAGAAGAAAAAAAAUUCUACCUUUUUCGACUUUGGUGGUGGCUCUAGUGGGGCGGUGACGGUGUCCCUCCAACAACUGAGCUUUCCUCUAGCUGCCCUUCUUUUUUUUGUCCAGUCAAAGGUAUUA
rnacentral:lncRNA from 1 species